UGGAUAUUAGUUAAAUAUAUAACAUUUAAAUUGCACUUAAAAAUUAUAUAAUCAAUAGAUUAUAUAUAUCUAA
rnacentral:tRNA from 1 species